GUGCUGGUGCUUGCACUGGAUGAUGACCCUACUUCAGCUUGAGGCAUGUUAUCAGCAGAAGACAGAACAACAAUUGGCUCGUGGACGUCAGUGCCUGAAACUAUAUUCUGUUCCAUUACACUCUCUGCUCUCCGCUCCAUUUUGGUCGAACCCAAGCUGAUGUCGCUGCUACUGGCCACGCUACACACAGAACUGCUGCUUCCUUUUCUACUUGAGGAGCCUGCAGCAGCAGUCGUCUUGUCUGGACAGUUGUUUUUCACCAAGCUGCUCCAUGACUGCGUUGUGCCUGAAACAGUGGAUGAAACAGGUUUGGGUGAUGCCGCUGAAUCAGGGUCGUACCCUGGUGCAAGCUUGAGGUCAAACUUUCCUUCUGCGCCCAUACGGUUUGGACUCCUCUUCAUUCUCAUCAUCAGAAGAUGGUCCUGCCAAAGUUGACACUUUACUAAUUACACCCAGCCUAGCAAGCUGGUCUAGAAAAAGGUCACCACCUUUAUCUACCAAAUCCCUUAUGAUUUGCAAGGCUAGCAAGUGGCCAUCAUCAUCAUCCUGCAAGAAAUUGGCAUAGGAGGGAAAGAAGAAAGGAGAGGGGUGUUUACUGCAAGCCAUUUCAAAUUUUAAGCAUUGCACAGCUUAAACUGUUCACAUUACGGCCUGUUGAUUUAUCAAAAUUAAAAAACAUCUGGUCAAAGACAAGAUGAUAAGCUAUGGCCUAAUAUCAAGUAAUCACAAAACACUGAUCUUUAUUUCACAGACAGAUUCAAUACAUUGAAAAAGCGGUACAAAAAGUUAAAAGGGGGCAAUUUUUUGUUUCUCAAAUACAGUGCUAUAUCAUAAAUAAUAAAAAGAAUAACCUUACCUCUUGAUCAAGGACAGUAGCAGUGAUCUCAACCAAUACUGUGGGCAGGUUGUGACCAGCAUCAGAAUCACAAACCUCUUUUAACAAUGCUUCAGAACAAAAAUGAAUCAUUUUUCUAAUGAGGGCAAGACUUGCUUUCCUUUAAAAAUUAAAAUAAAAAAUUAUUCCUUGCAAAGCUAAACAAUCAUACAACAAGUGAUAA
rnacentral:lncRNA from 1 species